AUUGACACUCAAACUGUUGUGCCAGAGUAGAGUUUUGAGAAUCUCUUGGAUUGUAAGAAAAUAAAAUCAGUCAAUACUUAAAAAUUUUAUUCAGACAACUCACUGGAAGGUCAAAUGCUGAAGCUUAAACUAAUAAUCAGGUCAUCAGAAUGCAGGACUCAUUGGAAAGGACCCUGAUGCUGGAAAUAUUGAAGGAAAAAGAAGAAAGAAACAAUGGAGGAUAAGAUGGAUAGAUAGUGUCAUGGAAACAAUGAACAUGAGCUUCAGAAGAUAGUGAAACAUAGAUGAUCCUGGCAUGCUUUGGUUGACAAAUAAACAAUUAAACAACAAUACAAUACAAGUAUUUGAGAAUUGUGAAACAAAGCAUGCUAUUAUCUCAAAGGGAGAUGUUGCUUACUGAGAACUCAAGAAAUGAUUAUGGAGAAGAUAACAUUUGAAUCAGGAUUUUAAGAAUGAGUAGGAAUCCAGUGGUCAAAGAAGUAUAAUCAUAGACUUAUAGGUGGAAAGACCUUAGAGGGCAGAACCAGGAGUAAUGACCAGAAGUCACAAAUUGUCUUAAACAUAGGAAAAGUCUUCUAAAUAAUGAGAUCUACAUUAAAACAGAUGAGUUUCAAGUGAUGAUAGUUUCAAUAGAGAUUUGACUUGGAAAGAGCCAAAGGAAAUGAAGAAAGAUUCAUCAAGAGAUAGGAUAGUGACCAAGAUCUAGAAGAGAGAUUCCUGGGCAGCAUAAUAGUGGUACUGUUACUUGCUGGGUUUUGAUGGCUACUCAUCUAAAAGACUUUGGAAAUACAACAUAUUCUGUAGCAGCUUUUCAAAUCUGUGCUUGCAUAUCAUUUUACUUAUUUAGGGUCUUGUAUGAGAAGAAGAAUAACAGAGAUUAUGCUACCAGGCUUGAAUGAAGUUGGAAGAGAGAAACUAACAACUCUGGGUAACUUGCCUCACUUAAAUCCAACUCAGAAACACACCAAGACCUCAUCUUCAUGAUAUCAUUGAUCCUCUUCAAAAAAAAGGACAAAGAACUCUUAAGGGAAUUAUUUGAGGGAAUAUACAAAAAAGAUGUUAACAAUUGGACUUUGUAAUCAAAUAGUUAGCAAGUGUUUUUUAUAAGCACAAGUUACUUAGUUGUCUUGAACCAAAGACCUAAAGCUGGUAUGACGAGAAAAGUGGUCAAAACAAGAGACUAAAUCCUAGCCUAGGAGCUUCACCUAGCUUUUACUAGUUUCUGUUGCACAUACUAUAUUAUCGUCCUCAGCUAUUCAGUAAAAGAGCUUCAAUUCAUCCUUUCAGAAGGCUUCCUAGCUAGGAUAUUUUAGGGUAUAGUAACAGAGGGCAACAGAAAGUCUUAUUUAAGAGAGAUUGGAACCAUGGCAGCCAGGAAAGAAUAGAGUUAUGACACACAGCAGAGAACACUCCAUGAUCCUCUGGUGAGAGAGGACAU
rnacentral:lncRNA from 1 species